UUUAGUGUUGCAGUGCAUCCCAAAGAUCUACAUCUGGUAGUAAUUCGGGAAUGUUUCAUGAAGAAUGAUGUUGAAGAUUAUGAGUUUGCCUUGUUUGCUUCAAAAGGAUUUUGUUUUGUUUGAAGCUCUAAUUCUAGGUAUUGUUUGGGUAUUCUAGUUAUUGUUCAAUAAAUUAAUACUCAAGACUUCGUUUCUUAUUUGUCUGUAAUAAAUGUAGAAGUUUGAACUCCAAGAUACCUUUGUGGCAGUUUGUUGGAAGAUUGUCACUGGUUCAACUGUGGAUUGUAAUUUGUAUGUAAUUUAGCUUGUGUAAACCAUUAACAUCUGUGUGAAUUGUUUUCUAUUGUUUUUGAGUUUUGUA